rnacentral:rRNA from 1 species
UACAGAGGGUGCGAGCGUUGUCCGGAAUCACUGGGCGUAAAGGGCGCGUAGGUGGUCGGGUAAGCGUGUGGUGAAAGCCCGGGGCUCAACCCCGGGUCGGCCAUGCGAACUGCCCGACUGGAGCAUGGUAGAGGCCAAUGGAAUUCCGGGUGUAGCGGUGGAAUGCGUAGAGAUCCGGAAGAACACCGGUGGCGAAGGCGGUUGGCUGGGCCAUGGCUGACACUGAGGCGCGACAGCGUGGGGAGCAAACAGG